rnacentral:rRNA from 1 species
AAGUACCUCGCGGGGUGGGCGGCGUGCCUGCUCUCGGCUGCCGGUCGGCUCGUCCUCAUCAACGCCGUCCUGGACGCCCUCCCCGUCUACGCCAUGGGCGCGUUGCUCCUGCCGCCUAAGGUGGUCCAUGCCCUCGACGGGCUGCGGCGCUCUUUUCUCUGGUGCGUGGCGGAGCGUGCUUCAGGCGCGCAAUGCUUGGUCGCCUGGGAGCGGGUGUGCCGGUCCAAGUCUGAAGGUGGGCUGGGGGUUCGUGACCUUGCUUCUCAGAACGCCAGUCUGCUGCUGAAGAUGCUCCACCGCCUGCAUGCCUCCCCGGCGUCGUGUUGGGCCUCUUGGGUUUGGGGUGGCGCGGACGGGCUAUCACUCUUGGCUCGUCGCGAGCUGAUGCUGGGUGAGCAUCGGUGCUCUCUGGCUAAGCUUCUUCCUCUCUACCGUCAGCUCACCACGGUGGAGGUGGGGGAUGGGCGGACCUGCUCAUUCUGGUGGGAUCGUUGGCUCCCCUGCGGGGCGCUCGCGGUGGCGUUCCCCGCCCUCUUCUCUCACGCCACCGCGCCGGAGGUCACGGUUCUCCGAAUGCGCGCGCGAGGCAUCGCGGCCUUCCUGGUCCCCCGGCUCACCGGGGAGGGCGCGCGC